rnacentral:rRNA from 1 species
AUUGAACGCUGGCGGCAGGCUUAACACAUGCAAGUCGAGCGGGGGAGGUUGCUUCGGUAACUGACCUAGCGGCGGACGGGUGAGUAAUGCUUAGGAAUCUGCCUAUUAGUGGGGGACAACAUUCCGAAAGGGAUGCUAAUACCGCAUACGCCCUACGGGGGAAAGCAGGGGAUCUUCGGACCUUGCGCUAAUAGAUGAGCGUAAGUCGGAUUAGCUAGUUGGUGGGGUAAAGGCCUACCAAGGCGACGAUCUGUAGCGGGUCUGAGAGGAUGAUCCGCCACACUGGGGCUGAGACACGGCCCAGACUCCUACGGGAGGCAGCAGUGGGGAAUAUUGGACAAUGGGCGGAAGCCUGAUCCAGCCAUGCCGCGUGUGUGAAGAAGGCCUUUUGGUUGUAAAGCACUUUAAGCGAGGAGGAGGCUCUUAAGGUUAAUACCCUUGAUGAGUGGACGUUACUCGCAGAAUAAGCACCGGCUAACUCUGUGCCAGCCGCCGCAGUAAAAC